GAUGAACGCUCGCGGGAGGCCUAACACAUGCAAGCCGAGCGGUAUUGUUUCUUCGGCAAUGAGAGAGCGGCGUACGGGUGCGUAACACGUGUGCAACCUGCCUUUAUCUGGGGGAUAGCCUUUCGAAAGGAAGAUUAAUACUCCAUAAUAUAUUGAACGGCAUCGUUUAAUAUUGAAAGCUCCGGCGGAUAGAGAUGGGCACGCGCAAGAUUAGCUAGUUGGUGAGGUAACGGCUCACCAAGGCGAUGAUCUUUAGGGGGCCUGAGAGGGUGAUCCCCCACACUGGUACUGAGACACGGACCAGACUCCUACGGGAGGCAGCAGUGAGGAAUAUUGGUCAAUGGGUGCAAGCCUGAACCAGCCAUCCCGCGUGAAGGACGACUGCCCUAUGGGUUGUAAACUUCUUUUGUAUAGGGAUAAGCCUACCCUCGAGAGGGUAGCUGAAGGUACUAUACGAAUAAGCACCGGCUAACUCCGUG
rnacentral:rRNA from 1 species